rnacentral:rRNA from 1 species
GACGAACGCUGGCGGCGUGCUUAACACAUGCAAGUCGAACGGAAAGGCCCUGAUUUUGUGGGUUGCUCGUGUGGCGCACGGGUGAGUAACACGUGAGUAACCUCCCCUUGACUGUGGGAUAACUUCUGGGAACUGGGGCUAAUACCGGAUAGGAGAUCCUGCUGCGUGGUGGGGGUAGGAAAGUUUCGGCGGUUGGGGAUGGUAUGGAGGGUUAUCCGCUGGAUAGUGGGGUAGUGGCUUACCAAGGCUUUGACGGGUAGCCCGCCUGAGAGAGUGACCGGCGACAUGGCGACUGCGAUACGGCCCAGUCUGCAACGUUCGGCAGCGGUGGAGAACCUGGCACAACGGCGCGAAGCCAGAUGCAGCAACGCCGCGUGCGUAAUGCCCUCUUAUUGGUUGUAAACCGAUGUCUCCGGUGACGAAGCGAGAGUGACGGUAACUGGUAAAAAAGCACCGGCUAACUACGUG